ACUUAUUUAGUAUAGUAGUAUUUUUGACUUCCAAUCAGAGGGCCUAAACUAAGUUUAGAAUAAGUA
rnacentral:tRNA from 1 species